UAUGAAAUGCCUGAUUAAAGGAUUAUUAUGAUAGAAUAAAUUAUGUGGAAUAACCACUUUCAUUG
rnacentral:tRNA from 1 species